rnacentral:rRNA from 1 species
UAGCAUAUCAAUAAGCGGAGGAAAAGAAACCAACCGGGAUUACCCUAGUAACGGCGAGUGAAGCGGUAAGAGCUCAAAUUUGAAAGCUGGCUCCUUCGGGGUCCGCAUUGUAAUUUGCAGAGGAUGCUUCGGGAGCGGUCCCCAUCUAAGUGCCCUGGAACGGGCCGUCAUAGAGGGUGAGAAUCCCGUAUGGGAUGGGGUGUCCGCGCCCGUGUGAAGCUCCUUCGACGAGUCGAGUUGUUUGGGAAUGCAGCUCUAAUUGGGUGGUAAAUUUCAUCUAAAGCUAAAUAUUGGCCGGAGACCGAUAGCGCACAAGUAGAGUGAUCGAAAGAUGAAAAGCACUUUGAAAAGAGAGUUAAAAAGCACGUGAAAUUGUUGAAAGGGAAGCGCUUGCGAUCAGACUCGCUCGCGGGGUUCAGCCGGCCUUCGGGCCGGUGUACUUCCCCGCGGGCGGGCCAGCGUCGGUUUGGGCGGCCGGUCAAAGGCCCCUGGAAUGUAACGCCUCUCGGGGCGUCUUAUAGCCAGGGGUGCCAUGCGGCCUGCCCGGACCGAGGAACGCGCUUCGGCUCGGACGCUGGCAUAAUGGUCGUAAGCGACCCGUCUUGAAACACGGACCAAGGAGUCUAACAUCUACGCGAGUGUUCGGGUGUCAAACCCGUGCGCGCAGUGAAAGCGAACGGAGGUGGGAACCCCUCGGGGUGCACCAUCGACCGAUCCUGAUGUCUUCGGAUGGAUUUGAGUAAGAGCGUAGCUGUUGGGACCCGAAAGAUGGUGAACUAUGCCUGAAUAGGGCGAAGCCAGAGGAAACUCUGGUGGAGGCUCGCAGCGGUUCUGACGUGCAAAUCGAUCGUCAAAUUUGGGUAUAGGGGCGAAAGACUAAUCGAACCAUCUAGUAGCUGGUUCCUGC